GAUGAACGCUGGCGGCGUGCCUAAUACAUGCAAGUCGAGCGAACGGACGACAAGCUUGCUUUUUUGAUGUUAGCGGCGGACGGGUGAGUAACACGUGGAUAACCUACCUAUAAGACUGGGAUAACUUCGGGAAACCGGAGCUAAUACCGGAUAAUAUUUUGAACCGCAUGGUUCAAAAGUGAAUGACGGUCUUGCUGUCACUUAUAGAUGGAUCCGCGCUGCAUUAUCUAGUUGGUAAGGUAACGGCUUACCAAGGCAACGAUGCAUAGCCGACCUGAGAGGGUGAUCGGCCACACUGGAACUGAGACACGGUCCAGACUCCUACGGGAGGCAGCAGUAGGGAAUCUGCCGCAAUGGGCGAAAGCCUGACGCAGCAACGCCGCGUGAGUGAUGAAGGUCUUCGGAUCGUAAAACUCUGUUAUUGGGGAAGAACAUAUGUGUAAGUAACUGUGCACAUCUUGACGGUACCUAAUCAGAAAGCCACGGCUAACUACGUG
rnacentral:rRNA from 1 species